rnacentral:ncRNA from 1 species
CUGGUUGAUCCUGCCAGUAGUCAUAUGCUUGUCUCAAAGAUUAAGCCAUGCAUGUCUAAGUAUAAACAAAUUUGUACUGUGAAACUGCGAAUGGCUCAUUAAAUCAGUUAUAGUUUAUUUGAUGGUACAUUACUACAUGGAUAACUGUGGUAAUUCUAGAGCUAAUACAUGCGUUAAAAUCCCGACUUACGAAGGGAUGUAUUUAUUAGAUACAAAACCAAUUCGUGGCAACACGAUAUUGGUGAGUCAUAAUAACUUUUCGAAUCGCAUGGCCUUGAGCCGGCGAUGCAUCAUUCAAAUAUCUGCCCUAUCAACUUUGGAUGGUAGGAUAGAGGCCUACCAUGGUUUUAACGGGUAACGGGGAAUAAGGGUUCGAUUCCGGAGAGGGAGCCUGAGAAACGGCUACCACAUCCAAGGAAGGCAGCAGGCGCGCAACUUACCCAAUCCCGACACGGGGAGGUAGUGACAAUAAAUAACAAUACAGGGCUCUUUUGGGUCUUGUAAUUGGAAUGAGUACAAUUUAAAUACCUUAACGAGGAACAAUUGGAGGGCAAGUCUGGUGCCAGCAGCCGCGGUAAUUCCAGCUCCAAUAGCGUAUAUU